GUGGCAGUGUACUCGGUGCUUGCUCGGAAGAUUAGGGUCUUUUUUGCUGUAAAAAGAAGUUUUCUUCCCACGCAGUGAGUGAACAGCGGACGCUAAUGUUCUUCUCACUUUUUACGGAAUCAAACUCAAAGUACCAGUGGUACCAUGAAAAGUGGACCCGCCAGCCGCCACCUGGGGAGGCCGACCACCGUGUCCUCCGGUGGGAGAUCCGGGUAUGUGUGGGAUGAGGCAUGAAGUUAUUACACCGUCAGUUUCAUUGUCCUGGGCAGCAAUGUUUGUUGGAAGUACUUGUGUGUUUUUUUAAUGUAUUUUUUUCAGGACCAGUUGGCUCGGGGUAUAGUCCCAUAAGUAUUUCUCCAGGUUUUUUUAAAUUUAUAUAUAUUUAUAAAAAAGAAAGCUGACACUUGCAAGACUUUAUCAAAGGUGUAAACAUCACAGCAGAUGUCUUUGUGUCAACUGGGGAUAAAACACAAAAACAUGAAGGAGAUUUUCCUGCCCUGGGUUUUUUUUUUUUUUUUUUUUUUUUUAAACAAACAACCUUAAAAAUAUUCUGCAGUAGAACAAAAACUGGAGAAAACCAUGAAUCAACAAGCGAACAUUACCUGAUGCUGCUGAAUUGAAGCAGAGCAAAGUACAGCUAAGCAGUAUGCAAUUUUGCAUCAUUUUAAGAAGUUUGCUCAGUAUUGAACAGUAAUAACGUCCGACAGUGCUGUAAACAACGUUAGACUGGUGGGUAAUAAGCAAGAGAAUAAUGCAGAAAACAGAUUUUUAGAUGGGAAACUCUUCCUCAGAGAGAGAGCUCUGCAUGAAGUGUGAUUUUAUCGUGGUGGAAGAAAAACAGCCACAGUAAGAGGGAAUAAAUGACGAUGUUUAUGUGAAGCGAAAUAUUGGGGUCUACUUUAUAUUCCAGCUCUAAAGUCAAUGUCGUCUUCACUCAUGAAGAGUUUUACUGUCCUGGGGACAGGAGAGAGGAGUCUCAUCAGAGGAGCUAUAAUUUUAUAGCUUGCAAAAGUAGAAACAAAUAAGUGUUCAUUUGAAUUCUUGUCUUAGUGAUUGAAAAUGGUCUCACUUUCUGCCCUUCACUGUUUGUAUCUAAGGCUAAAAAAACUACCUUAUCUAAAUUAAAAAAGUGACUCUAAAUAUUACAUAUUUAGUUGUGUGUGUGUGCAUGCACAUAUUUUAUGUAUACAGAUUUCUUUUCAACUAUUACUCAUGAUAUAACAGUGUGCAGACAGGCCCUUUGAGGACAUGAGGAGGAAACGGUGAUAAAAGGUGUGUGAGGCUGCUACAGGCUGUGGAUCCCUCACCAGCUGGAAUAAAAAGAGCACAGCUAACAAUAACACGUGUACCAGUUGUUCCUGUUCUGUGCUUUUUCCUUCACCCCGAGUACCAACAGGGCCAUAAGGCGUGUCAGCCGCACAGGGCUUCAGAUUCCCAGCAGUGAGUGAGGAAAUAGGAGGAGGCUACAAAGCUCAGAGUAACUUGGGUUAGAGAACCUGGAGCUGGUGGAGUCAUAGCUGCCUUUGUUCAACACCAUCUUCUCAUCUGGCUUGCAGGCCAUAACAGCAUCCACAGGCGAGGUUAAUUCUACAGUGAUCAUUUCCACUGAGUUCAUGAAGGAGUGAAAGUAUUCACUGGGGAACCCGCUCUGGAAGAGAGAAGUCACAGAACAGAAGAAGGGCUUAGAAAGAUUGGAAAUAUACAAGAUAUUCAACCUGCACUUUAAUGGAAUCAGUUAAAUAGGUGAGCAUCAGGUGUUUGGGGUGCUUCACUCAUACUUGACUGAAUUUGAAUUGCUUGGAUCAUGAAGGUCAUAAGUCUGUGACUGGAUCAGUGAGUCACUUUGUCUGUCUGGUUACACCUCCCACAGAGUUCACAUCUACCUGCAAUACUCUGUCUUUUUAUGGUACAUGUUGUGUUGCUCAACUUU
ensembl:lncRNA